GAAAGUGAAAAAAAAGCUACUUAAAUGCCACCUCUGUCACCUGGAUAUCUCGCAUAGAAACCCUUUGGAAAACUAAUGUUGUGUAUUAGAUUUGUCUCCCAGGUAAGCAAAAAUGUAAACUGCAGCAAGCAAAAAAAUUCUACAGCAUGUCACAAAAUACUUGGGUGUGUUUUUAUUACUGUGAUUCAGCUGACUUCUGGUGAAUAAAGACAAACAAGAAUCAAAGCUCUAAGGUUUAUCAAGAGACUUUUGAACCAGAGCAAUGAGAUGGCUGGCUGUAGGAAGAUCAAAACCGAAAUAAAAUAGUUGAUGAUUUUUGAUCCCUGAGGGUGAUACUGGCCACCCAGUUGGUGAUUGGGUGAUAUCUGUUGAAUGGGGUGUUUCGCAAGACUUCUGUGCGAGCUAUAAAUGUAGGCAAGUGAGCCGCCUUUUGCAGACAGCAGCACGGGACUGGAGGAAGUGCCAUCAGCUGUCCCCAUCUGAGAAGCUGACAUCAAGGCUGUCAUCCAGCUCCUACAGCAAGAAAUCUGAACUACAGAAGUCCUACUGAGAUGG